rnacentral:tRNA from 4 species
GGCCCGUUGGUCAAGUGGUCUAAGACACCGCCCUUUCACGGCGGUAACAGGGGUUCGAAUCCCCUACGGGUCACCA